GGUUAAGCGACUAAGCGUACACGGUGGAUGCCCUGGCAGUCAGAGGCGAUGAAGGACGUGCUAAUCUGCGAAAAGCGUCGGUAAGGUGAUAUGAACCGUUAUAACCGGCGAUGUCCGAAUGGGGAAACCCAGUGCAAUUCGUUGCACUAUCGUUAACUGAAUACAUAGGUUAACGAGGCGAACCGGGGGAACUGAAACAUCUAAGUACCCCGAGGAAAAGAAAUCAACCGAGAUUCCCCCAGUAGCGGCGAGCGAACGGGGAGCAGCCCAGAGUCUGAAUCAGCUUGUGUGUUAGUGGAACGGUCUGGAAAGUCCGACGGUACAGGGUGAUAGUCCCGUACACCAAAAUGCACAGGCUGUGAACUCGAAGAGUAGGGCGGGACACGUGGUAUCCUGUCUGAAUAUGGGGGGACCAUCCUCCAAGGCUAAAUACUCCUGACUGACCGAUAGUGAACCAGUACCGUGAGGGAAAGGCGAAAAGAACCCCGGCGAGGGGAGUGAAAAAGAACCUGAAACCGUGUACGUACAAGCAGUGGGAGCACCUUCGGGUGUGACUGCGUACCUUUUGUAUAAUGGGUCAGCGACUUAUAUUCUGUAGCAAGGUUAACCGUAUAGGGGAGCCGCAGGGAAACCGAGUCUUAACUGGGCGUUAAGUUGCAGGGUAUAGACCCGAAACCCGGUGAUCUAGCCAUGGGCAGGUUGAAGGUUGGGUAACACUAACUGGAGGACCGAACCGACUAAUGUUGAAAAAUUAGCGGAUGACUUGUGGCUGGGGGUGAAAGGCCAAUCAAACCGGGAGAUAGCUGGUUCUCCCCGAAAGCUAUUUAGGUAGCGCCUCGUGAACUCAUCUUCGGGGGUAGAGCACUGUUUCGGCUAGGGGGUCAUCCCGACUUACCAACCCGAUGCAAACUACGAAUACCGAAGAAUGUUAUCACGGGAGACACACGGCGGGUGCUAACGUCCGUCGUGAAGAGGGAAACAACCCAGACCGCCAGCUAAGGUCCCAAAGUCAUGGUUAAGUGGGAAACGAUGUGGGAAGGCACAGACAGCCAGGAUGUUGGCUUAGAAGCAGCCAUCAUUUAAAGAAAGCGUAAUAGCUCACUGGUCGAGUCGGCCUGCGCGGAAGAUGUAACGGGGCUAAACCAUGCACCGAAGCUGCGGCAGCGACACUAUGUGUUGUUGGGUAGGGGAGCGUUCUGUAAGCCUGCGAAGGUGUGCUGUGAGGCAUGCUGGAGGUAUCAGAAGUGCGAAUGCUGACAUAAGUAACGAUAAAGCGGGUGAAAAGCCCGCUCGCCGGAAGACCAAGGGUUCCUGUCCAACGUUAAUCGGGGCAGGGUGAGUCGACCCCUAAGGCGAGGCCGAAAGGCGUAGUCGAUGGGAAACAGGUUAAUAUUCCUGUACUUGGUGUUACUGCGAAGGGGGGACGGAGAAGGCUAUGUUAGCCGGGCGACGGUUGUCCCGGUUUAAGCAUGUAGGCUGGUUAUCCAGGCAAAUCCGGAUAAUCAAGGCUGAGGUGUGAUGACGAGGCACUACGGUGCUGAAGUAACAAAUGCCCUGCUUCCAGGAAAAGCCUCUAAGCAUCAGGUAACAUCAAAUCGUACCCCAAACCGACACAGGUGGUCAGGUAGAGAAUACCAAGGCGCUUGAGAGAACUCGGGUGAAGGAACUAGGCAAAAUGGUGCCGUAACUUCGGGAGAAGGCACGCUGGUGUGUAGGUGAAGUCCCUGCGGAUGGAGCUGAGACCAGUCGAAGAUACCAGCUGGCUGCAACUGUUUAUUAAAAACACAGCACUGUGCAAACACGAAAGUGGACGUAUACGGUGUGACGCCUGCCCGGUGCCGGAAGGUUAAUUGAUGGGGUUAUCCGUAAGGAGAAGCUCUUGAUCGAAGCCCCGGUAAACGGCGGCCGUAACUAUAACGGUCCUAAGGUAGCGAAAUUCCUUGUCGGGUAAGUUCCGACCUGCACGAAUGGCGUAAUGAUGGCCAGGCUGUCUCCACCCGAGACUCAGUGAAAUUGAACUCGCUGUGAAGAUGCAGUGUACCCGCGGCAAGACGGAAAGACCCCGUGAACCUUUACUAUAGCUUGACACUGAACAUUGAGCCUUGAUGUGUAGGAUAGGUGGGAGGCUUUGAAGCGUGGACGCCAGUCUGCGUGGAGCCAACCUUGAAAUACCACCCUUUAAUGUUUGAUGUUCUAACGUUGGCCCCUGACCGGGGUUGCGGACAGUGUCUGGUGGGUAGUUUGACUGGGGCGGUCUCCUCCCAAAGCGUAACGGAGGAGCACGAAGGUUAGCUAAUCCUGGUCGGACAUCAGGAGGUUAGUGCAAUGGCAUAAGCUAGCUUGACUGCGAGCGUGACGGCGCGAGCAGGUGCGAAAGCAGGUCAUAGUGAUCCGGUGGUUCUGAAUGGAAGGGCCAUCGCUCAACGGAUAAAAGGUACUCCGGGGAUAACAGGCUGAUACCGCCCAAGAGUUCAUAUCGACGGCGGUGUUUGGCACCUCGAUGUCGGCUCAUCACAUCCUGGGGCUGAAGUAGGUCCCAAGGGUAUGGCUGUUCGCCAUUUAAAGUGGUACGCGAGCUGGGUUUAGAACGUCGUGAGACAGUUCGGUCCCUAUCUGCCGUGGGCGCUGGAGAAUUGAGGGGGGCUGCUCCUAGUACGAGAGGACCGGAGUGGACGCAUCACUGGUGUUCGGGUUGUCAUGCCAAUGGCACUGCCCGGUAGCUAAAUGCGGAAGAGAUAAGUGCUGAAAGCAUCUAAGCACGAAACUUGCCCCGAGAUGAGUUCUCCCUGAGACUAUAAGUCUCCUGAAGGAACGUUAAAGACGAUGACGUUGAUAGGCCGGGUGUGUAAGCGCAGCGAUGCGUUGAGCUAACCGGUACUAAUGAACCGUGAGGCUUAACCUUACAACGCCGAAGAUGUUUUG
rnacentral:rRNA from 1 species